rnacentral:rRNA from 1 species
UUCCGGUUGAUCCCGCCGGAGGUCACUGCUAUCGGUGUCCGAUUAAGCCAUGCGAGUCGAGAGGUGUAAGACCUCGGCAGACUGCUCAGUAACACGUGGAUAACCUGCCCAAGGGUCCGGGAUAACCCCGGGAAACUGGGGAUAAUACCGGAUGGGUCACCAGUGCUGGAAUGCUUGGUGGUCGAAAGGUGACGCCUUUGGAUGGGUCUGCGGCGGAUUAGGUUGACGCCGGUGUAACGUACCGGCGUGCCUGUAAUCCGUACGGGUUGUGGGAGCAAGAGCCCGGAGAUGGAUUCUGAGACACGAAUCCAGGCCCUACGGGGCGCAGCAGGCGCGAAAACUCUACAAUGCAGGCAACUGCGAUAGGGGGACAUCGAGUGGCAUCCACCUUGGGUGUCUGUCCAACCGUCUAAAAAACGGUUGUUAGCAAGGGCCGGGCAAGACCGGUGCCAGCCGCCGCGGUAAUACCGGCGGCUCGAGUGGUGGCCGAUAUUAUUGAGUCUAAAGGGUCCGUAGCCGGCUUUGCAAGUCCCCUGGGAAAUCCGGCGGCUUAACCGUUGGGCUUUCAUGGGAUACUACAUUGCUUGGGACUGGGAGAGGUAGGAGGUACUCGGGGGGUAGGGGUGAAAUCCUGUAAUCCUCCGGAGACCACCGGUGGCGAAGGCGUCCUACCAGAACAGGUCCGACGGUGAGGGACGAAAGCUAGGGGCACGAACCGGAUUAGAUACCCGGGUAGUCCUAGCCGUAAACGAUGCCCGCUAGGUAUCACGACGGUCGUGAAUCGUCGUGGUGCCGUAGGGAAGCCGCGAAGCGGGCCACUUGGGAAGUACGGCCGCAAGGCUGAAACUUAAAGGAAUUGGCGGG